AGCGGCAAAAGCUCAAAUUUGAAAUCUGGUACCUUCGGUGCCCGAGUUGUAAUUUGGAGAGGGCAACUUUGGGGCCGUUCCUUGUCUAUGUUCCUUGGAACAGGACGUCAUAGAGGGUGAGAAUCCCGUGUGGCGAGGAGUGCGGUUCUUUGUAAAGUGCCUUCGAAGAGUCGAGUUGUUUGGGAAUGCAGCUCUAAGUGGGUGGUAAAUUCCAUCUAAAGCUAAAUAUUGGCGAGAGACCGAUAGCGAACAAGUACAGUGAUGGAAAGAUGAAAAGAACUUUGAAAAGAGAGUGAAAAAGUACGUGAAAUUGUUGAAAGGGAAGGGCAUUUGAUCAGACAUGGUGUUUUGUGCCCUCUGCUCCUUGUGGGUAGGGGAAUCUCGCAUUUCACUGGGCCAGCAUCAGUUUUGGUGGCAGGAUAAAUCCAUAGGAAUGUAGCUUGCCUCGGUAAGUAUUAUAGCCUGUGGGAAUACUGCCAGCUGGGACUGAGGACUGCGACGUAAGUCAAGGAUGCUGGCAUAAUGGUUAUAUGCCGCCCGUCUUGAAACACGGA
rnacentral:rRNA from 1 species